rnacentral:lncRNA from 1 species
AAAAAUUGUGAUAGACUCGUGUUUAUAAGAUUUUUUUUUUGGUGAAAACUCGUGUUUAUAAGAUUUAAGAAAGAGAACAAAGACAAAGAAAAAAUAAAAAAUGAGAGACUUUUUUUUUUGUUUAUGCAAAACGAAUAAUGGCAUCAAUGGUAGUUUUUAUAAAUUGUUGACAGCACAGAAGAAUUGAACAUGGCCGUGUAUAGUGUGUAGCGGUGUUAU